rnacentral:rRNA from 1 species
UACCAGCUCUCCGAGUGGUGUGGAUGUUUAUUGGGCCUAAAGCAUCCGUAGCUGGCUGGGCAAGUCCCCUGUUAAAUCCACCGAUUCAAUCGUUGGAGUGCGGGGGAUACUGCUCGGCUAGGGGACGGGAGAGGCCGACGGUAUUUUCGGGGUAGGGGUGAAAUCCUAUAAUCCCGGGAAGACCACCAGUGGCGAAGGCCGUCGGCUAGAACGCGCCCGACGGUGAGGGAUGAAAGCUGGGGGAGCGAACCGGAUUAGAUACCCGGGUAGUCCCAGCUGUAAACGAUGCAGGCUAGGUGUUUGGGCGGCCACGCGCCGCUCUAGUGCCGCAGGGAAGUCGUUAAGCCUGCCGCCUGGGGAGUACGGUUGCAAGGGCCUAGAAACUUUAAAGGAAUUGGGCGGGGGAGCACCACGAAGGGGUGAAGCUUGCGGUUU